rnacentral:rRNA from 1 species
GACGUAGGGCGCGAGCGUUGUCCGGAUUUAUUGGGCGUAAAGAGCUCGUAGGCGGCUUGUCGCGUCGACCGUGAAAACUUGGGGCUCAACCCCAAGCCUGCGGUCGAUACGGGCAGGCUCGAGUUCGGUAGGGGAGACUGGAAUUCCUGGUGUAGCGGUGAAAUGCGCAGAUAUCAGGAGGAACACCAGUGGCGAAGGCGGCGCUCUGGGCCGGAACUGACGCUGAGGAGCGAAAGCGUGGGGAGCAAACAGG